AUUGAACGCUGGCGGCAGGCCUAACACAUGCAAGUCGAGCGGAGCGGCGGACGGGCGAGUAAUGCCUAGGUAUCUGCCUGGUAGUGGGGGAUAACGUCCGGAAACGGGCGCUAAUACCGCAUACUAUCAGAUGAGUCUAGGUCGGAUUAGCUAGCUGGUGGGGUAAAGGCAUACCAAGGCGACGAUCCGUAACUGGUCUGAGAGGAUGAUCAGUCACACUGGAACUGAGACACGGUCCAGACUCCUACGGGAGGCAGCAGUGGGGAAUAUUGGACAAUGGGCGCAAGCCUGAUCCAGCCAUGCCGCGUGUGUGAAGAAGGUCUUCGGAUUGUAAAGCACUUUCAGCGGGGAGGCGUUACCCGCAGAAGAAGCACCGGCUAACUCCGUGCCAGCAGCCGCGGUAAUUC
rnacentral:rRNA from 1 species